rnacentral:lncRNA from 1 species
CUGAUUUCAGUGCAGUGCUCAUCAGCAGAGUGCUACAGGGUGGUCAGGAAGCCAAUAACUCUUCAUGCAGUUUAUACACAGCAGAAACAUUGCAAGCUCAUAAGCUCUGAAAACACCGAGUGGAAUCCUAUGUUCCUGAGAAUUCUCAUUUGCAGCCGCCUUGGACUGGGCUGUGCUGGUGAUGACACAUGGAGGAUCAGAUCUUGUGAUCUCCAUCAGAUUCAUUACUGAGCAGUACUAUUAGAACUGAAUUGUUGCAGACGCCAAGGAUUUCCAGGCAGUAGGAAGAGAUAGAGAUUUGGAAACACUCUAAUAAAAGAAUCACAGAUUUAAUGCUCAGAAGAUGUUACAAUGAGUCGGUCUCAUCAAUCUGACAAAGAGAACUUUAACCUGUAAUUCCUGUAUCGAUGAUGAUAAUAACUGCUUCAGGUGCUGCCUUGUGCCAGCCUACCAACCAAAAGAAAUAAAAGAAGAAGAAGAAGAAAAGGGCGUAAACUCAUCAC